CUGUGUGGAAUUUUUGGUUUUUUUCUUUGAUUUUUCCUAGAUUUUAAACAUCUGUGUGUGAUUUAUACGCUAGCAAGUAGAGUGUUUCAAUCAGGCUACGAAUUUUUUGGUAAAACUUUUGUUAAUGUCAAGUGGUAAAUAGACUUUUUUUAGAACAUACACGCUAGUUUUCUGGUCAGAGAGUUUUGACUUGAGGUUUGGAGGAAAUGCAUGUUCUUAUGUCAAGUGUAAAUGCUAGUUUUCUAGUUUUUUUUUUUUUGAACCUUUUGAAAGGCAUGCCUGCUUUCUUUAUUGUCUCAGAAUAUGCUUGAGUUGAGAUUUGAAGAAAUGCCUAAUUUAGUGCUUUUAAGUCAAUUAUUGGAACGUUCAUGUAUAAUAUACCAAUAAAACAAUCAUGGUAAAUUAAGUUAGCAUAUGGAACUACAUCUUUCAAAAUCAUAUAUAUUUCUUAGUUCUUAAUUCGACUAGCAUUUUUGUAUGUCCUGUUUAUUCUUAUGUAGGUUUUUGAACUGUGUCUAAGCUUUCUGAAAUAUUGAUGUCUGUCCAAGUUAUAUGAUUGCUGUUCAUUGAUAUUUUAGAUUUCUUCCAUUUCAGCUUGUUUGAUGCAUGAAAGAACUGGUGCCCCGCUUUCUGAAAUGAGUUAUCUGAAUAAGUAGACUUUACACUUUAUAUUGCUAGUUCUUAAUUAUUGCUUGUGAAACCAAAACAUGUCUGUAUUAUAGGUUUUUCGCCACAUUUUAAUUUCUUGUUGGUACUGAUCCUGUUUUUGUUUUAAAAUUAUAAAUUUAGGUAGGCUAUGAUAUGAUAAUACUGUGAUGCAGUCACAAUGGAUGUAUUUGUGCCUUAUGGUUGAAUAAUUUUAGAUCAGUUUAACAUUCUGUAAGGGUUUUGACGUGUUGGCAAAAUGCCAAAUUCACCUUUGUUGUUGUAUAUUUUCUUACUAGAAGAUGCAUGUCAGGUUUCUUGAAUAUGGAAGAAGAUAAGUCCUUAUCAGAAGCUCACAGCUGAUGCGCAUGCUAGUUUUGUCCACAUGAACAAGCUUCGGGCACAGUGCUGCAUUGGAAAGUAGAAACGGCUUUAGCUUGCAAGAUUCCAUAUAUUUUUUCAACUCUCUUUUUGGACUUCUGAUUGCUGCGUUUGAAGAGCGCAGGGAUCUGAAGCUUGGUUAACCCUUGCCUGCUGCUGUAGAAGUAAUUAUUCCAUCCCGAAAUCAACCAGCCAUGAUCUGUAAUAUAAGCACCGAAAAUUAAUCUGUUGAGCACAAGAGCCAGAUGGCCUAGGACAUUUACUAGAGUGGAGAUCUGAGAUGAGCUACAAAUAUUAAUAUCAUCGCGAUUGCGCCAUCUAUUCAGGUGGUUGAUGAGGCACCUUGAAAUCUUGGGAACUGUUGAGCUCCGUCCGAGGGCAUGAGAGAUAAAGAGGUCUUUGCAUAGUUAUGGAAGUGGAAGUUUGGUUACUAGUGGCACCCUAGCAUCAAAGCAGAUCCUUGAAAAGGUUUUUCAUUUUUCAGUUCUCAUACAGGACGUAGGUGUUACUAAUAGCAGCCCACAUGGAUCGAAGAACUGUGAACCUCCUCCUUUCGCAACCUCUAAGGAUGCCGCUGGGGUAGAACUUGAACAUGCGCUGAUUAAAUUCACAUCAGUAACAUGAUUAUGCAGGGAAAAGAUUAUAAAAUCAAACUGAUGAUUAAGAAGAAGAAAGAAGAACUGUCAAAAACAAGUCAUGAAAUUGAUAGGGUCGGAAAGAUAGAGAUAAUUUAGGAUUCCAAGAAACCCUUUCUUUUAUAUUCCACACAUUUUUUCCCCAUCCUUUUCAGUUUGGAGUUAUCUGCCAUGGGAAUUCCCUACCAAUCAAGUGUUCUCACCGAUGCCCUUUAUUCCUGAUCAAACCUGACUUUUAGGUUUUGUCUCUUUCACUAGCCAAGUUGCCAUGUUGAGACUUUAUUCUCGAGUUAAACCUAGAAACGAAGUCAGAGCGUGCUCACCACGCACAAAUCACAUUGUGACAUCAGACUAGCUAGUCUGCCGUCGAAGAUAGAGGUCUGAAAUUCAUGCUUCGAAACUUAAAAAGAUGGGGAUUUGAGAGGUUCGAAGCAGAUCCGUUGUAGGGACUUCGGAAGUACAACAAUAUGGGGAUCGGAAUCAGCCUAAAUGUCAGUGCUGCAAUAUGGCGAAGUAGAAGAGAAGGAGCCUCUCUUCCUUCCUUCCUUCCUCGGAGAGGAUAUUCUAAUCAGCACUGGAAUGAAGCUACCAAACGUACAUGGAGAGGGAUAUCCUUUGGCUACUUUCUUCUCUUUAUUUCUUUCUUUUUCUUCAGAAUUAGUACACAGAAUUUCUUCGGGCUAUCCUCUUUGCAGCUCCUCAAAUGAGGAUUCUUUUACGAUUCAAAAUGUUAAUGAUAAUUAAAUUAUCUGAUUUGUAUAAAAAUAAUUAAAAAAACCUUAUUAAUUUCAAAACUAAUAGUUCAAAAUAAGUAUUAAAGCUUGUCGA